AGGUGGCCGGGUGAUCGCGGCACGUGGAACCAUCCCACACGUUGGGGGAGGCCAGGUGCGGAGGAAAGUCCGGACUCCACAGGGCACGGUGGUUGCUAACAGCAACCCGGGGCGACCCGCGGGCUAGUGCCACAGAAAACAAACCGCCGCGUGCCACCCACGCCUUCGGGCGCACGGUAGCAGCGCGGUAAGGGUGAAAAGGUGCGGUAAGAGCGCACCAGCACCGCAGGUGACUGCGGUGGCUUGGUAAACCCCACUGGGAGCAAGGUCAAGAUGUUGCACACGGAUGUAAGCCGUCCAGCAGUGCGACGCAGUUCCAGAGCUGCCCGCUCGUUUUUAGGGACAGGUAGACCGCUUGAGACCUCCAGCAAUGGAGUGUCCAGAUGGAUGAUCACCUCGCGCCGCCCACCCCACGGGGACUUAAGGCGGUGUACGACAGAAUCCGGCUCACAGGCCACCUU
rnacentral:RNase_P_RNA from 1 species